rnacentral:tRNA from 1 species
AUUCUUUCAGUAUUAGCUAGUACAGUUGACUUCCAAUCAAUAGGAUCUGGUCAAACCCAGAAAAGAAUA